CAUUAUUUCACCUAGGGCUGCACAAUUAAUCGAAUUUCUAAUCGCGAUUACAAUUAUGGAUGCCUUAAUUACGUAAUUGUUCAAAGCAGCAGUUAAUCGUUCAAAGC